GCAUGCUUUCUCUUGCAGAGCUUACUGCGAGCCUGAGGGUACCCUGCCUCUUCGUCCUCUCUCGAAAAAGGCCGAAUUGAAAAUUUUCGCGUAACGGUUAAAAUAACGAUCAAAUAGGGAUCAAAUCGCUAAGUUAACUCAGAGGCGGAUGCAUUUAUUUGUGCGCGGUAUUUUGCAUGCCAUUCUCGAGGUAGUAGUUAGAAACGUAUCCCGGCGUUUCUUUUUGAAUUAGGGAACAGGUGGCGACCUCAAUUUUGCUUUUUUUAAUGUCGGCCGUGCGAUGUCGAAGUUUAGGCUGAGGCGAAUUUGAUUUUUGUUCAUAGUUAAGGGCAUUCUUCGUUGCGAUGACCGGCGAAAAUGCGUCUGUCUCUGGUUCAAGUCUGGCCGAAGACAAGGGAGAACGUGGCAUUCGAGUUAUCGAAGAAACAAUAGUAGAACAACGCACAUCAUCGGCCACCAGGCAUUCAAAGAAGAGUGGCGGCUGUGCCCGUGGACCGGAACGUAUUGUGAAAUCAGAUGAAAAAAAUGAACGCAAGGAUGGUGUUGCCAUUGUAGAAAAUCGGGCAAAACUUAGUUCAAAUUCUCAAGACAGCUCUUACGGUGUUGAUGAGAUCGACGCAGAGCUUUCAGCUUCUAUCGAGCACGAGCCGGAUGCGGACACGAUUGCUCAUACAUAUUCUAGUGGCAGCGAGUCCAGCGACGCGGAAGAAGCGACUUUUUUCGAAGAGGGUGAAAAACCUCACUCGCACGGACGAGAAUCACACCGGAGCGUAAAAAAGGCCGAAUUCUUAAAAGACUCUGUUCGUAGCAAGAUCAGAAGAGAGGCCGUCCUCUCAUUCGAUAAUGUGGAGACGGCAGAGCUGGAUGCAGGCCAGUUCUUGAUGAAAAUCGCAGAGAGACAAAAAACGAUCAAGUUGGCUACAUGCGAGCAGAUUAGUUUCGAAGGCGAGGAAACGUGCUUCGAGGAACUUGGUGAUGAGCCGGAUCAGAGUACAGACGAUGAGGAUGCUCACGAUGGCACCGACGUAAUAUCACUCGAGAUCGAAGACGACGACGGUUCGUGCGUCCAAAAUAAUAACGGUCAUGUCGUUUCACUUAACAUGUCGCUUGAUCAAAAUCUGAUUAGCGCAUCAUGCGACUGUUCUGUAGAACCGGGCGCCCCAUCCUCAGGCUGUGUAUUUGAAUCGGGAGGAGCGAGUAUUGAAGGAUCUCGAACGAAGGUAGCGACCGCCUUGCUAGCUCAGAGCACGGACGACUUAACUGACAAUUCUGGAAGUCUUGGAAGUCUCUCUGAAGGGACACGUAAUUCUUUGUGUGUUUCUCGUCUUCAUGAAUUUUCAUCGAAAAAAAGGCCAUCCGAAGGGUUGUUGACAAAUUCUCAACAUUCUUCCGCCGAGCAUUUAAGUCGCGCGAAUUCCUUCGACUCCGUCGCUGAUAUCGUGACCGCGUCCUGCGCUCAAGGUGAUACAGCCAGAUCAACCGAAGCCAACGAAUUUCGAGACAAGUGCUCUUGCUCAGCAAGCAAAAUGUGCGCCGGCAUCGAUACGAGCUCUUCUAGCGAACCCUUCAUGCUGACGACAAGUUCCUCCAAACCUCGCGUUGGUACCAAGCGACACCCGACUUGUCCAGAAGCCGAGCGCUUCGCCCUUGACGCCUCGAAUAUAAACCUAAAAGAUAACUCAGACAUUUACUCUGACGACAACUUCGACCAAUGGCUUUCAGAAAAAAAAAGAAGGAGAAUUCUGUCUGAUAGCAUCCACAGAAGAAAACUCUCUCGUUCUAUUUCGUUCUCUCGAUCCGACCAGAAAUGGCAAAGCAUCUCUCAGUUAGUCAAAAGUACCGAAAAUCAUUCCAGCUCCCCUCUUCCAUCUCGAACCCCACCUUUUUUCUGUUUACAGCCUUCCUCUUCUUCUACUGUAUUUUCCGAAAGCAACAGAAUUCAUCUCUCUAAGCUUCAAGCUUCUCUAAAGCUAUCCAACUCUCAAAAAAUUUCGUCCGCCAUCCUGUUUCAGCAUGCCUACGACAACUGAGAUUCCCCCUCUUCCCAUCUUUCUCAGCUGAAGCGAUUUCUCUGAAAUAUCAGUCCGCGUCGUCGCACCUACUAGAACCUCUGUCUUCGCACAAAUUAACUCGAAAAUUACUAUCCUUUUGUGUACUUAUGUGACGCGUUUAGCAAACCAUUUCUCAAUCGCAUACUCUCCGCUCACAACGAUCAAACGCCAAUUACAAUAGGUCCGUGGACCCAUAUACUAUACUCUCUACUCGGCCGGUGCAUCGUCCUCAUCCAAGCUAUCCGCACUUGUAUAUACAGAUUGCAUGUGGCAUAGAUACGCAGGCGCUAUUGCACCCAAAAAAAUGUCACGUUAUACACUCCGAGACACCUCUUCUAGACUCGUUAUGCUACUUCAAAAAAGGAUAUCGCUACUAUCGCUUCCUUACACGUGCACUCGCGGGUCGAGAAUUAAUGUUCAACCAUAAUGCCUUGAUUCUUUGUAUCAUGCAACAACGUUUUCAUUGCAUUUAAAAUUCUGAGUAUAUUGCCUCUGUCGCCGAUGAUCUGUGUUAUCUUUUCCCUCACCUUAUAUAAGGAGACAACCAUAUGCAAACCUCGCGAACUUACAUCAUUUAUUUCAUAGCACACGAACAAAACUAUACAUGCGGCGCCUAUGUUGUACAUAUACGGAUUGUGUGUGUAAUCUAUUACUACCUUGUGAACAUUUCUUCACAUUGCAAUGCUACCGUUCCACAUAUCGGACGUCUUAUUUUUUUCUAUAUUGGACACGCUGUGCUUCACACAUGUCGUCUCAGUACGCAUUGCGCACCCCGAUGCAUCAGCUGAUGUAUGCCCAGGAUAUCUCAUAUCCGCUACAUCGCUAACGUAUCUCUGAGGCGGCAUCAGUAUCAAUGUAUCUCUAAGACAGCACUAUCAUUCUACACGAGCUUUCAUAGCAAAAGUAGAUAUGUCCGGUCCACUGAUUUGAACAAGUGUGCUGCUAGGAUUAUGGAUUAGGGCAGUCAUAUAAAGACGUCGAAAUUUUUUUUUUGCGGCUGCUAUUUUCAUUUUCUUAUUGAAAAAGUAGAGUUCGAUAUUUUUUAUUGUUAGCAACCGUUCCAAAUUUGGCCUGAAGAGUUCGAUGCCAGAUCAACGUGGUUGGUGGACCGGACACAGCCCAGUGAAUAGAGAGGCAGCUUGUUUCAAUCAUGGGACUGACAUUACAAGCUUUUAUGUUGCUUAGUUUAUUGGGGUCACGUUCAUCCUAUGUACUAGUUUUUGAAACACAGAUAUUUAUUAGUGCAUAGACCACCAAUAUGUGCUUACUAUGUUCGCCGCAACUCUAUUCUUAUCAAAAAGCUGCUUUCAAUAAUCAAGAAGGAUGGGUGACUUCGAUGUAUGGGGUUAUGUAUUUGUGUACAUGAACAUGCAGUAAAGUGCGGUAACUUUCAGGACUAAGUGAGCCGGAUAGAGAAGAUAGAAUUGAUUGAAGCUCUGGCUUACGUUGGUUCCAACUUGAGAUAUGUAUGCCGAAGAAUGUUUGAAAGUUUUGAAAUGAAGGGCAGGCUAUGGCGUUUGAUAACGGAUCUCAGCGAGUUAAAAGAACUGCAUUUAGAAUAUUAAUAGGAGAAUUCUUGGGCAUGCAAAAUAGGUAUUGCAUGAGUCCGUUGUAUUUACGCGGAUUGAGGCUUUAUGCCGCAUUUAGAUGUAUAGUAGAUUGUAGAAUUGGUAUAGAUUAGGAAGACAUUAACAAAUUGAAAAUUUUAGUAUUAUACGCUCUUGCGCAGACACAAUCUAUACAUUAUCGACAGUAUGCUUACUUGGCAAUAACAAAAAAAACCGCGAUUGUAGGCAUAUCAAUGUCAAUGAAUUAACCGGAUAUACAGCACGAAUCCUUCAGUGAAAAACUUAGUUGCUAUAUACCUCCUUCAACCACCUUCUCUCCUUUCCGAGCUGGUUUCCAGCAGGCCUAUGAUAUCCGUACGUUUACUACGACAAAUACUAAGUGUGUGAGACGUAUCAAGGCAUAUAUGAUAUAUAUGCGUGUAUCUCGGGCAUAUGUACUCUGAUCUGAUAUUUAACAUUGCUUCGGUAAAUAUCAGGCUUAUGAAUUACAACGAGACUAAUAAUUAUGUGGGCCAUAGGUUGGUUGGCAUGACGUCGCUAAGGCAUAUAUUCAUAAUGUAAUUUAACGAAUUACGCGCGUUCCUCAGAUAAGAUUUUUACUAGCACGAUUUCCCUCAACUGCCAAUCUCUAUAAUCUCCACCACAUGGUGAUUUUGGCCACAAGAUAAUAGUAAAUUUAUAUGAUAUUCGUUAUAAGUCGAUAGUU